rnacentral:rRNA from 1 species
UACGGAGGGUGCAAGCGUUAUCCGGAUUUACUGGGUUUAAAGGGUGCGCAGGCGGAUAUGUAAGUCAGUGGUGAAAUCUCUAGGCUUAACCUGGAAAUUGCCGUUGAUACUAUAUAUCUUGAAUGCUGUGGAGGUAAGCGGAAUAUGUCAUGUAGCGGUGAAAUGCUUAGAUAUCGAGAGGAACACCAGUGGCGAAGGCGAGUCCCUGGACACUUCCUGACACUGAGGCACGAAAGCUAGGGGAGCAAACAGG